UGGAAAAGGCAUUGUUACCAAUUGAUUGAACUUGGUUCAAGAUCCAGGUUUCUCGUACCAACCUCAUACUUAGUUGCAGUCAUUUAUGUUUUUGGAGAAUUUCAAGGUACAUCUGCCCGCGUCCGCAGAUCCUCGGAGUCCCCCUCUAUCCCCCUAUGUUGAUUUUUCUCUUAAUUCUAUAUACACUAAUGUAUAGAACAGUUAGAACUUCGUAGAAGCUAUGUAAUUUAGUUAAAUUCCAUUAGUAUCUUUUUCAAGUGCACCUAUUUUUAUGGAACUUUGCUGAUCGGGUGUA